UGGUAUCCAGAGCGAUGCGGAUUUGGUC
rnacentral:sRNA from 1 species